UUUUUCUUUCCUAAUUGUUCUCAGUAGGACUUCCAGUAUUAAACUGAAAAGGAGUGGUGAGAGUGGGUACUCUUACUUUUUUCUUCUUAUUAGAGGGAAAGCUUGCAAUUUUUCCCCAUUGAGUGUGAUUUGCACUGAGGAUUUUUCAUAAAUGGCUUUUAAUAUGUUGAGGUUGUUUCCAUAUUUUUUAUAAUGAAAGAAUGUUGAAUUUUGUCAAAUGCUUUUUCUGCAUCAAUUGGGACGAUCAUGUAAUUUUUUCCCUCCAUUUUAAUAUAUUAUAUUAAUUGAUUUUCAUAGUCUGAACCAUCCUUGCAUUCAGUAAGUAAUAAAUCUCACUUGGUCAUGAUGUAUAAAUUUUAAUAUAUGCUAAAUUCUAUUCUAAUAUAUGCUGAUACUAUUUUGUGAAGAUUUUAUCACCAAUCAUGUUUCCCCUGAGAUCUUUAUUUCUUCCAAUGGCUUCAAAUUAGCAUCUAGUGUCUUUUCAUCUUAACUUGCAGGAUGCCAGAACAUUUCUUGCAGGGCAAGUCUAUGGUAGUGAACUUCCUCAGCUUUGUUUGUCUCGGAAUGUCUUAAGUUUGGAUAAGUGUUUAUAAUGUGGCUUCAGAUGAAUAUCAGAUGAGUCACAAUAUGAUGUAUCAAUGAAAACUUCGUGGAAAUAAAAAUAAAAGUGAUUUUACACCUGACACUUUAUUAUGGAAAUUUACAAACAUGCAGAAGAGGUGAAAGAAUUAUACAGUGAACCCUCAUACGUGUGAUGCCUAGAUCUUAUAAUUAACAUUUUUGUAAGCAACUCUAUUCAAACAUUAAUUCUAUAAUUUCUUAGCUGGUUAACCUUGGACAAGUCAUUUAAGCUUUUUGAACUUUAGUUUCCUUCUUUAGAAAAGGGGAAUAAUGAUAGUACUUACUUCAUGCAUUGCUGCAAAAUUUAAAUGUUAUAAUACCUGCAGAACACUUAACCUACUACCAGGCACAAAAUAGAUACACACAGUUAGUGUAAGCUGGAGUAAUGAGUACUUGUUGAAUAAAUGAGUGAAUGAAUAAACAAAGGCAUAAUAAAUUUCCUAUAUCUUCUAAAAGAACUUUAGUAUCUAUAUUUCAGCUGCUGGAUGUAGACAAGCGAUGUCUCUAUUUAAGAAUGAGCAUUGUGAAAAAUAAGAGCAUGGAAAAUUUUUUCUUAAUAGCUGAAAAAAUAUACCUAUUGUAAGUGUUAUACCAGCCCAGUUAUUUACUAUUUAAAUUGCUCUGGUUACGUGCAGUGAAAGCAGGUCUCCAGGAUAUUCCUUGGAUUUCUUUUAUAGAAACAACAAGCAGGCAAUAUGGUUUCUGACUUAUUAAUAUGUAGCAGUGACUACUAGCUACACUGAGUUUCAAUUGUUUGUUGGAACAAAGAAGGGAGGUAUGGGGAGCAGGAAAUAGAAGAGCCCUGGAAAAAUCUUGCCAACACAAACUAAGACCAAGCCUCUUGCUCUCUCCAGGUUUCAUUCCUGUCCCUGAGGAGUCCAAGGGCAUGUGUUUAGGGUUAGGGCAAGGAAGGAGGUGCUAAGUAAGUCCAGGUGGAAUUUUUUAAGACAAACUGGCUUUUCUCCAGCUUCAGGUCUUGCUCACAUACUUUCUACAGCUGCACUGCUGCUUAAACCGCAGCUGGUGCGUUCUCUCUUGUCCAAGAAUGGUUUGGACUAUUUCUAAGAUUGAUGUAAGCGAUUUUAAAGACUUUCAGAAAGAUGCACUUUGUUAAUGAGAAAAAAAAAAAAAAAAAAAAGAGACAAAACUAACAGAUUUCAACUUGCUAGCAUCCCUAAACAAUUUCAGAGACGGUACUCAAUUGUACUCAUUUUCCUUACAGAAGGCAACUGUGUUACUGACAAAUACAGAAGGAAGACGUGCCUGAGAUAGGCCGUCCUAUGCUCCAGAGAGAGCACGUUGUAGCAGACGUUUGAGAUCUAAUUUCCAUGCUAGCUCUGCCCUCCCUGCUUAUGUGGCCCUUGGUUAUCUUAUGAUACAUCUUUGGGUUCAAUAUUUUUCUAUUCUUAUGCCGUCUCAUAACAUUAUAUAUAACUGAAUCUCAGGUUUUUGAAGCCACGCAUUUAGAAAUAUCAGCUUUCCUUUAUUUCUCCUGUCAUGAAUAAGUGUUAAUCAAAAGCAUUGAGUGUAAUGAAUAUUUAAAUACUAAGCAGUCUCCUUAAAGAUGUUAAUUAUUACAUUUGAAUAUAUUUGAAAUAUUUCUUUCAUAACAUGGUGAAUGUUAUGACAUACAUUCCUAUUGAUUCAUGACCAACCCAAAUCAUAUUUUCUGAAUUAUUUAGAAAAAUAUUUCAAACUUGACUUCACAGAAGAAAAAAAGACCCUUGUUGUCAAUUCCAAGAAACCCAGUUCUGAAACGUUUUCAAAUGUUAGUGAAGGCUUUUCAGGUUACUUGAAUGCACCUGCUUGAUCAGACCUUCAACAAAGUAUUUUCAUUGGCAAAUAUGUAAUUUAUGAAUAAAUAACAAGUUGGAUGCUGAGAAAGUGGAAUAAUACGCUCCAUGCCUUCAAGUCUUUGUGUCAAUGCCUGCAUGCAGUUUCCACCAAACUUUUGCAAAAUUAAUUUCAGCAAGUCCAAGUGCUUGGGCUACAAGGGGACAACUGCAUACAGAGGUCUUUUCACACGUUGCUCCCCACAGUCGGCGGUUCCUUCCUAUUAGGUCUCUUGGCCGGCGGGCAGGCCCUGGGGAGAAUUUGGGGCAAACUUUUCUCAGGGGUGUGUGUGUGUGCACGCACGCAUGUCCACAUGCAUGCACACAGGGCGUGUGUGUGUGUGUGUGUGUGUGUGUGUGU
ensembl:lncRNA